rnacentral:rRNA from 1 species
AGUGAACGCUGGCGGUAGGCCUAACACAUGCAAGUCGAACGGCAGCACAGGAGAGCUUGCUCUCUGGGUGGCGAGUGGCGGACGGGUGAGGAAUACAUCGGAAUCUACCUUUUUCGUGGGGGAUAACGUAGGGAAACUUACGCUAAUACCGCAUACGACCUACGGGUGAAAGUGGGGACCGCAAGGCCUCACGCGAUUAGAUGAGCCGAUGUCCGAUUAGCUAGUUGGCGGGGUAAUGGCCCACCAAGGCGACGAUCGGUAGCUGGUCUGAGAGGAUGAUCAGCCACACUGGAACUGAGACACGGUCCAGACUCCUACGGGAGGCAGCAGUGGGGAAUAUUGGACAUGGGCGCAAGCCUGAUCCAGCCAUACCGCGUGGGUGAAGAAGGCCUCGGUUGUAA